rnacentral:rRNA from 1 species
AGGCUUAACACAUGCAAGUCGAGGGGCAGCAUGGUCUUAGCUUGCUAAGGCCGAUGGCGACCGGCGCACGGGUGAGUAACGCGUAUCCAACCUGCCUUACACUCUUGGACAGCCUUCUGAAAGGGAGAUUAAUACAAGAUGUUAUCAUGAGUAAGCAUUUUCGCAUGAUUAAAGGUUUACCGGUGUAAGAUGGGGAUGCGUUCCAUUAGAUAGUAGGCGGGGUAACGACCCACCUAGUCUUCGAUGGAUAGGGGUUCUGAGAGGAAGGUCCCCCACAUUGGAACUGAGACACGGUCCAAACUCCUACGGGAGGCAGCAGUGAGGAAUAUUGGUCAAUGGACGAGAGUCUGAACCAGCCAAGUAGCGUGAAGGAUGAAGGUUCUAUGGAUUGUAAACUUCUUUUAUACGGGAAUAAACGGAUCCACGUGUGGAUUUUUGCAUGUACCGUAUGAAUAAGGAUCGGCUAACUCCGUGCCAGCAGCCGCGGUAAUACGGAGGAUCCGAGCGUUAUCCGGAUUUAUUGGGUUUAAAGGGAGCGUAGAUGGGUUGUUAAGUCAGUUGUGAAAGUUUGCGGCUCAACCGUAAAAUUGCAAUUGAUACUGGCAGUCUUGAGUACAGUUGAGGUAGGCGGAAUUCGUGGUGUAGCGGUGAAAUGCUUAGAUAUCACGAAGAACUCCGAUUGCGAAGGCAGCUUACUAACCUGUAACUGACAUUGAUGCUCGAAAGUGUGGGUAUCAAACAGGAUUAGAUACCCUGGUAGUCCACACGGUAAACGAUGAAUACUCGCUGUAGGCGAUAUACAGUCUGCGGCCAAGCGAAAGCAUUAAGUAUUCCACCUGGGGAGUACGCCGGCAACGGUGAAACUCAAAGGAAUUGACGGGGGCCCGCACAAGCGGAGGAACAUGUGGUUUAAUUCGAUGAUACGCGAGGAACCUUACCCGGGCUUAAAUUGCAACCGAAUAUGGCGGAAACGCUAUAGCUAGCAAUAGCGGUUGUGAAGGUGCUGCAUGGUUGUCGUCAGCUCGUGCCGUGAGGUGUCGGCUUAAGUGCCAUAACGAGCGCAACCCUUGCCGAUAGUUACUAACAGGUUAUGCUGAGGACUCUGUCGGGACUGCCAUCGUAAGAUGUGAGGAAGGUGGGGAUGACGUCAAAUCAGCACGGCCCUUACGUCCGGGGCUACACACGUGUUACAAUGGGGGGUACAGAGGGCUGCUACCACGCAAGUGGAUGCCAAUCCCAAAAACCUCUCUCAGUUCGGAUUGAAGUCUGCAACCCGACUUCAUGAAGCUGGAUUCGCUAGUAAUCGCGCAUCAGCCACGGCGCGGUGAAUACGUUCCCGGGCCUUGUACACACCGCCCGUCAAGCCAUGGGAGCCGGGGGUACCUGAAGUGCGUAACCGCAAGGAGCGCCCUAGGGUAAAACUGGUGACUGGGGCUAAGUCGU